rnacentral:lncRNA from 1 species
CUCUCGCCGACGGUCGACUCGCGCCGACGGUCGAAUCUGUCUCGCGACUCUCGCCGACGGUAGAAAGGAGAAGAAGAUGAAGAAGAAAGAAAAAACAAGAAGAAAGGAGAAGAAAAAAUACCUCGGUAUCUCGUCGGUCGUCGAUCGUCGGUCGUCGGUGAAGAUGGAAACCCUAAUUUCCGUCACUGGAGAAGAAGAGGGGUCGUU